CCAGGGCUGCGAGGGCUGCCAGCAUGCUGUCACCUCUCAGCUGCAUCUCUUGAAGAGCAAAAAAACUCUUGGGGCCUGAGCAAAGCCUGAGAAGGGACGCGCAGGACAAAUUUGCGGGGAAAGAGAGAAGAUUGGGCAAAAAUUUGGCAUGAGAACAGCCUUUAACCUGUCCCUUCAAUACAUUUGCUGCCUCAGAAAGGAAGAGGCCACAAGGAGCUCCUGGUUUCUACUACAGCCUCCAGAGUCUCUAAUUCCGUCCCCAAGGAUGGUGUGGGCAGCAUGGUUGGGGGGCAUCCACGGUCUUCAGCGGUCCCACUCUGGAGCCUCCCACACCACACUGUGGGCACUGUGGACAUUCAUCCAUUCUCCGUGAAGGAGCUAGAGCCAUCUUUGCCAAGAGCAAACCUGAUCAUAAUCCUCCCCGGCUUAAAACCGAUAUGCAGUAUAGCCUGCUGAUAGCAGUGCAGACCUCGCUUCUGCUAGGACAACUGGAUGCCAUCAUCCUGAAUCGGACACCUCACCUGACAUCAAACAGCGGGACAGGGCCCAAGGCCCUUGGGUGCCCACAACACACUGAUUGAUCAGCCCAGAUCUCACCACCAUCGCUCACUUGCCUUUCUAAUUUGGGACAGAGAAAGUUUGUGAGUUUUAUUUUGUCUUUUUUUUUUCUCCAGAUUUAAAGAUCUAUUCCCUUUCCUCUCCCCCAAACCUCAUUCCCCAGAACCUAGAUUCUGUGCCAAAUUGGGUUUCCAAGCCUAGCAGUAUAAAACAA
rnacentral:lncRNA from 1 species